rnacentral:rRNA from 1 species
AGAGUUUGAUUAUGGCUCAGGAUGAACGCUGGCGGCGUGCUUAACACAUGCAAGUCGAACGGAGUUUAGAGAGCUUGCUCUUAAACUUAGUGGCGGACGGGUGAGUAACGCGUGAGCAACCUGUCCCUCACAGGGGGAUAACACAGCGAAAGUUGUACUAAUACCGCAUAAGACCACGGUAAGACAUCUUACAGGGGUCAAAGGAGCAAUCCGGUGAGGGGUGGGCUCGCGUCCGAUUAGAUAGUUGGUGAGGUAACGGCCCACCAAGUCGACGAUCGGUAGCCGACCUGAGAGGGUGAUCGGCCACAUUGGGACUGAGACACGGCCCAAACUCCUACGGGAGGCAGCAGUGGGGAAUAUUGGGCAAUGGGGGGAAACCCCUGACCCAGCAACGCCGCGUGAGGGAAGAAGGUUUUCGGAUCGUAAACCUCUGUCCUUGGUGAAGAGUAAGAGACGGUAGCCAAGGAGGAAGCCCCGGCUAACUACGUGCCAGCAGCGGC